rnacentral:rRNA from 1 species
UACGUAGGGUGCGAGCGUUGUCCGGAAUUAUUGGGCGUAAAGAGCUCGUAGGCGGUGUGUCGCGUCGGCCGUGAAAACCUGCAGCUUAACUGUGGGCGUGCGGUCGAUACGGGCAUCACUGGAGUUCGGCAGGGGAGACUGGAAUUCCUGGUGUAGCGGUGAAAUGCGUAGAUAUCAAGAGGAACACCUGCGGCGAAGGCGGGUUGCUGGGCCGACACUGACGCUGAGGCGCGAAAGCUAGGGGAGCGAACGGG